rnacentral:rRNA from 1 species
CCUACGGGGAGCAGCAGUGAGGAAUAUUGGUCAAUGGACGAGAGUCUGAACCAGCCAAGUAGCGUGAAGGAUGACUGCCCUAUGGGUUGUAACCUUCUUUUAUAAAGGAAUAAAACGAGGCACGUGUGCCUUUUUGCAUGUACUUUAUGAAUAAGGAUCGGCUAACUCCGUGCCAGCAGCCGCGGUAAUACGGAGGAUCCGAGCGUUAUCCGGAUUUCUUGGGUUUAAAGGGAGCGUAGAUGGGUUGUUAAGUCCGUUGUGAAAGUUUGCGGCUCAACCAUAAAAUUGCAAUUGAUACUGGCAGUCUUGAGUACAGUUGAGGUAAGCGGAAUUCGUGGUGUAGCGGUGAAAUGCUUAGAUAUCACGAAGAACCCCGAUUGCGAAGGCAGCUUACUAAACUGUGACUGACAUUGAUGCUCGAAAGUGUGGGUAUCAAACAGGAUUAGAUACCCUUGUAGUC